rnacentral:rRNA from 1 species
UACAGAGGGGGGCAAGCGUUGUCCGGAAUUACUGGGCGUACAGCGCGCGCAGGCGGACCGCCACGUGCCGUGUGACAAGCCACUGCUCAACAGUGGAGGCCAGGGGUACACGAGCGGUCUGGAGGCAGGGAGAGGGAUGUGGAAUGCCCGGUGGAGCGGUGAAUGCGUAGAGAAUCGGGCGGAACACCAGCGGCGAAGGCGGCAUCCUGGUCCUGUUCGUGACGCUGGAGGCGCGAGAGCGUGGGGAGCGAACUGG